GGAAGGUUGUCAGAGUGGUAAUGAGUCGGUCUUGAAAACCGUAGCCGUCCGAAAGGGCGCGGGGGUUCGAUCCCCUCACCUUCCG
rnacentral:tRNA from 1 species